rnacentral:rRNA from 1 species
CGGGAUUGAAGCUUGCUUCAAUCGCCGGCGACCGGCGCACGGGUGAGUAACGCGUAUCCAACCUUCCGUACACUCAGGGAUAGCCUUUCGAAAGAAAGAUUAAUACCUGAUGGUAUGAUGAGAUUGCAUGAUAGCACCAUUAAAGAUUUAUUGGUAAACGAUGGGGAUGCGUUCCAUUAGGUAGUAGGCGGGGUAACGGCCCACCUAGCCUGCGAUGGAUAGGGGUUCUGAGAGGAAGGUCCCCCACAUUGGAACUGAGACACGGCCCAGACUCC